rnacentral:tRNA from 1 species
GCUCCUGUCGUCUAGCCCGGUCAGGACACUUGGUUCUCAUCCAAGAAACACGGGUUCGAAUCCCGUCGGGAGCA